UUUGACCCCCCACAGAUUCAUGUGUUUGACUGCAUGGCCACAGGGAGUAGCACUAUUAGGAAGUGUAGCCUUAUUGGAGGAGGUGUGGCCUUGUUGGACGAAAUAUGUAACUGUGUAGGUGGGCUUUGAGGCCCUCUAUGCUCAGGUUCUACCCAGUGUUAUAGAGAGCCUCCUCCUGGGUGCUUGUAGAAGAUAUUUUCUCUUUCUGGUUGCCUUCAGAUCAAGAUGUAGAACUCUCAGCUCCUUCUCCAGCACCAUGUCUGCCUGUGCACUGCAAUAUUUCCCUCCAUGAUGAUAAUGGACUAUAACUCUGAAACUGUAAGCCAGCCCCACGUUGAAAUACCUUGUUUAAAAAAUACCCAAGAGACCACAGUCUUCAUAGCAUCAAUAUUCAUCAUAGCUAAAACAUGAAAAUAAUCUAGGGGGCUGGAGAGAUGACUCAGCAGUUAAGAGCACUGACUGCUCUUCCAGAGAUCCUGAGUUCAAUACCCAUCAACCACAUGGUGUCUCACAACCAUCUGUAAUGAGAUGUGAUGCCCUCUUCUGGUGUGUCUGAAGACAGCUACA
rnacentral:lncRNA from 1 species